GACGAACCGUGCGAACGUUAUUCGGAAUCACUGGGCUUAAAGGGCGCGUAGGCGGAUUUGCAAGUCUGUGGUGAAAUCCUCCAGCUUAACUGGAGAAGUGCCAUGGAUACUGCGAGUCUCGAGGAAGGUAGGGGCAUCUGGAACUGCCGGUGGAGCGGUGAAAUGCGUUGAUAUCCAUAGGAACUCCGGUGGCGAAAGCGGUGUGCUGGAUCCCUUCUGACGCUGAGGCGCGAAAGCCAGGGGAGCGAACGGG
rnacentral:rRNA from 1 species